AUCCCUGCCGAUCCUGUUGCUGCCGCCUUCCCGCCGUGCUCGGGCUGCCCGGGACUCUAGCCGCCAGGCUUCGCGUCGCCCAGCGGCAGAUCGGGCUCCUGGGAGCCUCUCCCCUGGCCGUUUGCUCGGCCUCGGCCCCAGCUGCCCUGGGGCCUAGCCACUAGCUCCCCUGGCGCUAGCCUACCCUGUCUUGACCGCACCCUGAAGAUUUGGGAAGUCUUUCUCCAUCCCAAGAGUCGUCUCUGCAAAAGUUGGUGUCCUUCCUGGUGCUGAACCACGCUUCUGCUCAAAAUGUGUUGAGCGUCGUCUGUCUGCAAAGCACGGUGCCAGGAGCUUUGGUGGAGAAGGCAUGGGACCCACAGCUGACUUCCAUCCCUCUGGAUCCAGCGAGGCGCCCAUUGCUGCUCCUGAUCGGGCUAAAGGCUUGCCCUUGUUCCUGCAGGGCUAAGUGCCCAGGUUCGUCCUAAUCUAGCUAAACACUAGUCACUGGGUUCCACGAUUCUCUUCCAUGACCCACAGCUUCUAAUAGAGCUAUAACACUCGCCGCUUGGCCCAAGAUUCCAUUCCUUGGAAUCCAUGAGGCCAAGAACCCCAGGUCAGAGAACACAAGACUUGCCACCAUCUCGGAAGUGGCCCGUCACCAUCUUGGAAGCGACCUGCCACCAUCUUGGGAACUUGGGGAGCAAGGACCCCCAGUAACAUAGUGACCAGGAGGAAAUUCUUCCUCUCAACAGCUAAUGCAGCAGGAUCUCUUACACCGUACCCUCCCUCACCUUGCUCUUGCUCUUCAUGGUAGAACACGUACCAUAUCUUAGCUGUACUCUAUCAACUGCGCAUCUGAAGUAAAGAGUGAAGUCUUCUUUGUUUCCAGUCAUGGAGCAACAACUUGCUAUGAUACUGGCCUUCUGUAGCUGACUCUUCUUUGUCUACCCAGGCACUCUAAUGGAACUUUAAUUCUAGCUAAAGUUAUUUUCUCAGACUCCUUUGAAGCAAGGGGCAGCCAUUUGACACACUUCAAGCCAAUGAGUUGAAUGUUGAACUUAUUGCUGAGGCUUCUAAGAAAGCAUAUAGAUGGAAGGGCUCUGCGAAUCAGAGCUCAUCUUUGCCCUACACCUGUCUUCCAGGAGGAACGUGAAGAGCUACAGCACUCAUAGUUCAGUCAUGAAACAACAAACAGGAGAACAAUGGCCUGCAUUCCAAGGAUGGCAGAGCAGAAAACUGUAAAGAGGCUGGGCAUUUGAUGGCAUUGUGGUGCCACCAGACAAGCCCUAAGCUAUCUUCCCUAAGACUUCUUGUUUUGGGUCAAAUUCCUGUUUAAGCCAGGAAGUUUUCACAACCUUCACCACCCAGUCCUGCAGCUGUUGUCUCAUGCUUGUGACUCAGACUUCCAGGAAUCCUUUAGAAGUGAUGUGGUGAUCUCGUUUGGCACUAUGCAAUGUACACUAUUAAUGAAGAUAAGAACUGGAAAUGUCAAAGAACAAUUGCCCAGCUCAGUUACCAUCUGCUACUAAAGAUAGCCCCAGCUGGGUGCGAUGGCUCACACCUGUAAUCCCAACACUUUGGGAGGCUGAGGCAGGUGGAUCACCUGAGGUCAGGAAUUCAAGACCAGCCUGGCCAACAUGGUGAAACCCCAUCUCUACUAAAAAUACAAAAAAUUAGCUAGGUGUGGUGGUGCAUGCCUGUAAUCCCAGCCACUAGGGAGGCUAAGGCAGGAGAAUUGCUUGAACUCUGGCAGCAGAGGUUGCAGUGAGCUGAGAUUGUGCCACUGCACUCCAGCCUGGUCGACAGAGUGAGACUCAGUCUCAAAAAAAAAAAGCCCGUAAUGAGAACUCUCAAGAGUACCAUGGUAAUAUAAUAUGGUAAUAGAUAAUAAAAGAGUCAUGAUCAUUAAUAAUAAAUAUAAUACUUCUACUUCAACUGAGGAAUGGAAAACUAAACAUCAUAUGUUCUCAUAUGUCCCUAAGCUAUGAGGAUGCAAAGGCAUAAGAAUGAUACAAUGGACUUUGGGGACUUUCAGGGAAAGGGUGAGAAGGGCGUAAGGGAUAAAAGACUACAAAUUGGGUUCAGUAUAUACUGCUCGGGUGAUGGGUGCACCAAAAUCUUAAAAAUCGCCAAAGAACUUAUGUAACUAAAUACCACCUGUUCCCCAAAAAACUAUGGAAAUUAAAAAUUAAAAAAUAAGUAUAAUUUCUGCUUUAGCGAUAUUAACUAUUCAGUACACAAUAAGUGAGUUUAGCAAUUCAGUGAUUUCUGACUGUUGGGUAGCUCUCUUUGUUAACAAAUAAAAUAUAAAUUUGAAGAAACUUAUUUGUAAAUAA
rnacentral:lncRNA from 1 species